GCCCAGAUGGCGGAAUUGGUAGACGCGCUAGUUUCAGGGACUAGUAUCCAUUCGGAUGUGCAGGUUCGAGUCCUGUUCUGGGCA
rnacentral:tRNA from 1 species